UCCUGUCAUUUAUUAGUCUAGAAUCUUUAAUUCAAACGUAUAAAUGUUUAAUAUUUCAUAUGUAAUUUUUCCAAUAUUUUUUCCCUCAACCUCCACUAUAAACUACAUCUGUUAUGUAACAAUUAAAAUAUAUAUAUAAUUUUAGAGUUGAGUAUUUCUUUAUGCAGAAGGAUGUUGGGUGUAUUGGGAAAGGAAAUAUUUUAACAAGUUAGAGGUGGGCAUUUAAGUUCAAUAAGAUGAACUGGAGGAUUCAUGACUGUCCUAAACAUUCUACAUUUCAACUGACUAUGGUUAAGUAAGGUACCAUGAGACUUCAUUUUUUUUCUUUCUUUUUUUUU